rnacentral:rRNA from 1 species
UACGGGGGGGGCAAGCGUUGUUCGGAAUCACUGGGCGUAAAGGGUGCGUAGGCGGGUCUUUAAGUCAGGGGUGAAAUCCUGGAGCUCAACUCCAGAACUGCCUUUGAUACUGGCGAUCUCGAGUCCGGGAGAGGUGAGUGGAACUGCGAGUGUAGAGGUGAAAUUCGUAGAUAUUCGCAAGAACACCAGUGGCGAAGGCGGCUCACUGGCCCGGUACUGACGCUGAGGUGCGAAAGCGUGGGGAGCAAACAGG